AAUCAUUAGUCUUUUAAUUAAGGACUGGAAUGAAUGGUUGGACUAAAUGAUUUUGUCUUAUUUUUAUACUUCAAAUUUUAUAUUUUAGUAAAAAAGCUAAAAUUUACUUUAAAGACAAGAAGACCCUAUCAAGCUUUAUAAUUUUAGUUUAACAUCAAUAUAGACAAAAAAUUAUUUCGCUGGGGCAGUGAAUAGAAUAAUACUAUUUAUAUAUUUAGGACCCAAACCUUGAAAUAUCAAAAACUUUUUAAACUAGGAAUAAGUUACUGUAGGGAUAACAGCAUAAUUUUAUUAAAGAGUUCUUAUCAUCAAUAAAGUUUGUGACCUCGAUGUUGGAUUAAGGAGCCCAAUUUCACGCAAUAGUAAAGUUAGG
rnacentral:rRNA from 1 species